UUUGAAUAAAACGGUGUGUUUGAAUAGAACUAUGGAGGUUAUAUUAUAUAGUGAAUUUUACAGUUUAUUGUAUUAAUUACAUAAGGAAUAUACUAUAGUAUAUUCUACUAUAAAUAGGCUAAACAAUAUUCUAUGAAAUAUUCUAUAUAAAAUAUUAACAUAAUUGAUUCUUAACAAUGAUAUUACUCAUGACUGCCUUGAAGAUCUAUUAUGUCUUGGAUCAUGCAUUGGCACUGAUUCCAGAACCGUAAGAC
rnacentral:lncRNA from 1 species